GACGAACGCUGGCGGCGUGCUUAACACAUGCAAGUCGAACGGAAGGGCCCUGCUUUUUUGGGGUUCCGGAGGGCGAAACGGGUGCGUAACACGUGAGUAACCUGCCCUACACUUUGGGGUAACUUCACGAAACUGGGGUUAAUCCCGUAUCGGAUCUCCUGUUCCGUGGUGGGCGUUGGAUCUUUUGGGGGGGUGGGAUUGGAUUGGCGGCUUAUCGGCUUGUUGGUGGGGUAGUGGUUUACCAAGGCUUUGACGGGUAGCCGGCAUGAGAGGGGGACCGGCGACAUUGGGACUGAGAGACGGCGCAGACGCGUACGGGAGGCAGCAGGGGGGAAUAUUGCACAAUGGGCGGAAGCCUGAUGCAGCAACGCCGCGUGCGGGAUGACGGCUUUCGGGUUGUAAACCGCUGUCGCCUGUGACGAAGCGUGAGUGACGGUAAUGGGUAAAGAAGCACCGGCUAACUACGUG
rnacentral:rRNA from 1 species